UACGAAGGGGGCGAGCGUUGUUCGGAAUCACUGGGCGUAAAGGGCGCGUAGGCGGCCCUCCUUGUCGCGUGUGAAAGCCCCGGGCUCAACCUGGGAACGGCGCGCGAGACGGGGGGGCUGGAGUUCGGGAGAGGAGCGUGGAAUUCCCAGUGUAGAGGUGAAAUGCGCAGAUAUCAGGAGGAACACCAGCGGCGAAGGCGGCGCUC
rnacentral:rRNA from 1 species